rnacentral:misc_RNA from 1 species
GGGGAGUUCGAGUCCCAGUAGAACCACCA